rnacentral:rRNA from 1 species
CAGUCGCCACGGUAGUUCGUAGGGAGCAAGCGUUAAUCGGAAUUACUGGGCGUAAAGCGUGCGCAGGCGGUUUGUUAAGACAGAUGUGAAAUCCCCGGGCUCAACCUGGGAACUGCAUUUGUGACUGGCAAGCUAGAGUGUGGCAGAGGGGGGUGGAAUUCCGCGUGUAGCAGUGGAAUGCGUAGAUACGCGGAGGAACACCGAUGGCGAUGGCAGCCCCCUGGGCCAACACUGACGCUCAUGCACGAAAGCGUGGGGAGCAAACAGGAUUAGAUACCCCAGUAGUCCCUGUCUCUUAUAC